rnacentral:snoRNA from 1 species
UCGUCAGGUGGGAUCAUCCUUACCUGUUUCUCCUUUUGGAGGUCAGAUUCGAACAUGACGAUUGCAGAAGAAUGAAACGUGAUUAAUAACUCUGUGUAAUCAGGCCUUGCAGCACAAUCUUCCUGAUAAUCUCUAUUUUAA